rnacentral:rRNA from 1 species
AAUGAACGUUGGCGGCGUGGAUUAGGCAUGCAAGUCGUGCGGUAAGGCCCCUUCGGGGGUACACGAGCGGCGAAAGGGAGAGUAACGCGUGGACAACCUACCCUUGGGUCCGGGAUAGCCGCGGGAAACUGCGGGUAAUACCGGAUAACAUCUCAGGAUCAAAGGUGUGAUUCCGCCUGAGGACGGGUCCGCGUCCUAUUAGCUUGUUGGUGAGGUAACGGCUCACCAAGGCUUCGAUGGGUACGAGGUGUGAGAGCAUGACCUCGCUCACUGGGACUGAGACACUGCCCAGACACCUACGGGUGGCUG